GACCAUUCUUUUUUUGUGUGAAGAUAAGAUGGCCACAACACCACUAUCUCUUCCAAAUCAUAUACAUUUAGGGUUUUAGAGUAUAUUCCUUCUUUCACUAACGAAUAUCAUGGCAGCAGCGUUGUCUAUUAUCUGCAACUUCACACUCCAUUAUCACACUUCCAUUUUCUUCAAUAUCAAUUUCCCUCCUUCAAACAGAAUCUCUAAUCGAAAGAGCUGCUUCUUCAAGUUCAGUAGAAUUUGUGUUGUUUCUUCUCAUACAAAUCCCAAAAUUCUCAAGCCUAAUCGAAGGUCUAGGUUUGGCCAGCCGUUAUCGACUUACGACUCUGACUCCGAUGAUGAUGAUUGUUUUGAAGAUGAAGACGACAUUUCAACUUCUGAUGAUGAAUCUCUAGAUGUGAGAGUUUCUGCCCAGGAUCGACAACGCCUGAAGUUUCAGAAUGCAACACACAUCAGACGAGACAGUCAUCACCAUUCAGAAGGAGGAUCGAAUGCAAAGUUGGGACACCGGCGGCAAACUCCUGAGAUAACACAAGAUUGCAGAGAAAAGGAGGCAAGGGUAAGCUUGGCUAAGGACAGAUUUAGUCAUCUUGCAGAGGAACUGGAUCUCGAUGAGAGAUGGUAUCCACUUCUUGAUUACCUAAGUACCUUUGGAUUUAAGGACUCUCACUUCAUCCAGAUGUAUGAAAGGCACAUGC
rnacentral:misc_RNA from 1 species